rfam:Gossypium arboreum cultivar AKA8401 contig_1075_1, whole genome shotgun sequence.
UAUUAAAAAUUUCAUUCAUUUGUAUUGUUAAAAACCGGUGUAGCUAACGGAAUAACCAGAAACUGACAUGUGGCAUGCCACAAGUACCUUAUGUUGAUGUACAUGGACCAGCUUUUAACAAUAUAAUUGGAUGAAAUUUUUUAACA